rnacentral:snRNA from 1 species
GGAUGUGAGUGUGAUCUGCCUGCGACCUCUGUCACCCCACUAAUUGCCAAUGUUGAUUCAGCUGAUCUGGCUGGCUGGGCGGCAUCCUCUUCCUCUCUCAGCGCUCCAUGUGUGUCCCUCCUGAGGCUGUGUACUCUGUCGAGGAGGAUGAUCACCCCCGACAGAGGAAGACUGUUCUUUGGUCAAGGGUAUUUGAGGAGCUGUGCUUCACUGCUAGAACCUCAAACAAGCUCUCAAGGAAUAGGAUUUAGAUGCAAGUGCCAAAUAUUU